UACGUAGGGGGCAAGCGUUGUUCGGAAUUACUGGGCGUAAAGGGCUCGUAGGCGGCCAACUAAGUCGGAUGUGAAAUCCCUAGGCUUAACCUGGGAACUGCAUCCGAUACUGGAUGGCUUGAAUCCGGGAGAGGGAUGCAGAAUUCCAGGUGUAGCGGUGAAAUGCGUAGAUAUCUGGAGGAAUACCGGUGGCGAAGGCGGCAUCCUGGACCGGCAUUGACGCUGAUGAGCGAAAGCUAGGGGAGCAAACGGG
rnacentral:rRNA from 1 species